AUACCUUUCUCGGCCUUUUGGCUAAGAUCAAGUGUAGUAUCUGUUCUUAUCAGUUUAAUAUCUGAUAUGUGGAUGUCCACAAUGAUAUUAAAUUUAUUUUUUAUGAGGGAGGAACCAUCAUAGUGGCUUGCCACUAGGAUCCUCGCGUGUUCACCGGGCGUUGCACUAUAGCCUGGGUGAGGCGCACCCCAA
rnacentral:snRNA from 2 species